GCGUCAUUUAUGUUGGAGACUGGAUCAAUAGUGAGACUUACAGUGACUUCAGCUUCGACGAGGUCUCAUGUGAAAGAAGUAGUAGACAGAGAUUCGUCGCAGUUGCUUCGAGAAGCCAUUUGCACAUAGGAGGAACAGCACUGCUCCCAGUACUUAUCCUUGGAACAUCACGUUUCAUAUCUUGAUUUCUCACAGACUGUCUACCUGUGAAUACCACAUGCGUCAGAGCUCUACGGUCCCCACUUGCUGCCAGCCAGCAGUGGCUCCGUGGCGGCACUCCACUCCCUCGCAUUUUGUCGAAGACAUCAGCUGCCACUAAUCACUUUGGAGAGUAUAAAAUGUUUGCUAUUGUUGAAUGAUGCUCCACAAAAAAGUCUAUGAUUCGUAUUUCAUGCUCAAUAGCAUCAAAAGCAGACAACCUGUUUUUAUGUGAAGAGUAUUAUAUUCCUCUAAUAGAAAGACAUGCACAUACAUCUCAAAAUUGUUAUAGUUUGUGAUCCCAUCUGACUACCUUACUACAUUGUUUAGUUUUAUUCU